UACGUAGGGAGCAAGCGUUGUCCGGAAUCAUUGGGCGUAAAGCGCGCGUAGGUGGCCAUGUAAGUCCGCUGUGAAAGUCAAAGGCUCAACCUUUGAAAGCCGGUGGAUACUGCAUGGCUAGAGUACGGAAGAGGCGAGUGGAAUUCCUGGUGUAGCGGUGGAAUGCGCAGAUAUCAGGAGGAACACCAAUAGCGAAGGCAGCUCGCUGGGACGUUUACUGACACUAAGGCGCGAAAAGCGUGGGGGAGCGAACAGG
rnacentral:rRNA from 1 species